CUCGGAGCUGAAUCAACAAUUAGCUGCAGGAGGAUGACAUUCAGCGUUCACAUUCCUUCAGUGAUGCUCCCGGACGCAGAGCAAGGUUCCUCCCAUACUUCAUGCUGUUCAUGAAGUGAGUUUUUCAGUUUUCUUUGUUAAAAUCUUCAUCAGCCUGCCACAUUGAUUCAACUGGGAACCACAGUCUCAGACUGAGAGGACGUGUAUGUUUUCCAGAGAGCAAACUGAUCUGAUGCACGGUGCAGGUCAUGAUUCUAAGAUGCAAAAGGAACUGCAUCAUUUGCAAGAAAGCAAAGAUGAGACCCUGAGAUCCCUCCUCUCCAUGGUGAGCUUGUUUGUGCUGAGGAUAGUGACAAAUCUUUGGUUAUGCAAGGACCAUGUCUAGUUCAGCAUCAGUGGUACUCCAUGUUCCUCAUUAACCCUCUGAUAACAUGCCUCAUGUAUUACUUUCUUAAAUGACUUUUUCUAAUCACCUCUAUUGUUUUCUGCUCCGUCAUUGGGAUUAUUUUCAUCCUGUCAUUCACCCGUAUUGAAGAACUUUUUAAAGGCUACAGGGAACUGUAGCCCAGUUGCACAUAUUAACACAUACAUGUAUUCUAUUAAGAGCUGUCUCUUAAUGAGUGAUCGGUUUAAUUAUUCUUUUUCUCCUCCACUUGUCCAUUUUACAUUGAUUUAAAAUCUUUUGGCCAAGCAUAAUAUAAAGAAGAUAGAUGAAGAAAGACCUUUGGAAAUAUUAUAAAUUAAAAUAGAGACAAAUUAAACAAAAUAAAAUCACAUUUUACUUGAAUCAAGUUUAAUUAAAUUAAAUUGGAUUAAUUUUGCAUAAUUCAUGACAAGCACAGAGCUUGACAAAUGAAAAAUAUACACAAAUUAUUUAUAGAUGACAUUCUUAUAUAAAAGUUUAAGUUUGUUUUCACUCAGAAGGAGGUCCUCCACGCUUUCUUCAAAGUUAGAGAUUAUGAAGUUUGUUCACUUUUCUGUGUGCCAUGCAAAGUUAUUUCUCACCAUUUUUAAGCACCUAUUAUGAAUUUUAUUCUAAGGUAACCGCCAGAGCAAUCUCUUUUCCUCAGCCGGCCACAGGUUUUUGUGCCAGGCUCGGGAAAAGCUCUUCCUGACUGGAUCCCCCAGCUUGCAUUGCUCCAAAUCCAAUAACACAAGAUACAGAAUUUCAGUGUUCCUCUGAUACGCCUCUUUCCAAGUCCUCCCCUCGCUGUGUGAAAUCGAUUCGUGGCGCGUGGAGAAUUUGUGCCCCUGUUGGCUUUGUUGUUGCAGAAGCAUGCUGGGGUUUAUGAUGCCCUUGGACGUCAGAGACUCUUCCUCCGCCUGUCUUACUUACUAAACCAAUCUCCACCUCGCGUUCUUUUGUUUCAGUUUGUUUUUGUGCUCCAAAGCACUUAUCUCAAACAUUCAGUUCAGCCACAGCUUUGUGGCAGCAACAAUGAAGUGCCAGUGCCCAGAAACUUUUCCCCAUGCCUUUUGUGAGUUUAUAAUUGGACACUCUUUUUACAAGUGUGUGUGCAGCUACAGUUCAAUAAAAAAACAAAUA